GGAUUGCAGGCUGCAACCCGCCUGCAUGAAGCCGGAAUCGCUAGUAAUCGCGGAUCAGAAUGCCGCGGUGAAUACGUUCCCGGGUCUUGUACACACCGCCCGUCACACCAUGGGAGUCGAUAACGCCCGAAGUCAGUGACCCAACCGAAAGGAGGGAGCUGCCGAAGGCGGGAUUGGUAACUGGGGUGAAGUCGUAACAAGGUAUC
rnacentral:rRNA from 1 species